rnacentral:rRNA from 1 species
AAUAGCCUAACGGCUGAACCAGCAACUUGGAGGAAUGUAUAGCGAAAGCUAGUUGCACUUAAUUUAGUUAAAACUAAGUUGGUGCAGGAUUGACUUUGUCGAAUAAAGUUCUAGGUGGGUUAUGAUGAUGACAUUUCCUAUCUAUGUGUCUUGACCAAAUUACGUGCCAGCAGUCGCGGUAAUACGUAGAAGACUAGUGUUAUUCAUCUUUAAUAGGUUUAAAGGGUACCUAGACGGUAAAUCAAGUCCGAUAAGGGUACUAAUUUACUAGAGUUUAAUGUGAGGGGGCAUGAAAGUACUGAUAAGUGUAGAGAUGAAAUUCUGUGAUACAAUAUAUGGCACUGGCAAAGGCGAAAGCAUCUCCUUAUGUAAUAACUGACGUUGAGGGACGAAGGCUAGGUGUAGCAAAAAGGAUUAGAUACCCAAGUAGUCUUAGCAGAAAAUUAUGAAUGUCAUAGGGUGGAAAUUGUUAGGACUAUAACAUAAAAUUUUAUUCUAUAAAUGAAAGUGUAAGCAUUCCACCUCGAGAGUAAUUUGGCAACAUUGGAACUGAAAUCAUUAGACCGUUUCUGAAACAAGUAGUGAAGUAUGUUGUUUAAUUUGAUGGUCCGCAAAAACCUUACCACUUUUUAAUUAAAUUUAAUUUGAAUAUAAAAAUUUAUUUUAUACAAGCGCUGCACGGUUGUCUUCAGUUAAUGUCGUGAGAUCUUGGUUAGUUCCAUUAAAUUAACGUAAACCCUUACUUUAUUUUUAUAUAGAGUAGUUCACCGCUAGAUUGGAUGUGAUAACAGGGACUAAGACAAGUCAUCAUGGCCUUAAUAUUGUGGGCUAUAGACGUGCCACAUAUGCCUUACAAAGGGAUGCAAAAUUGUGAAAUUGAGCUAAUCCCCUAAAAAUGGAUAAAAACUUAAU